rnacentral:rRNA from 1 species
UACGAAGGGGGCUAGCGUUGCUCGGAAUCACGGGGCGUAAAGGGUGCGUAGGCGGGUUUUUAAGUCAGGGGGGAAAUCCUGGAGCUCAACUCCAGAACUGCCUUUGAUACUGAAGAUCUUGAGUUCGGGAGAGGUGAGUGGAACUGCGAGUGUAGAGGUGAAAUGCGCAGAUAUCAGGAGGAACACCCGUGGCGAAAGCGGCUCUCUGGGACGGUACUGACGCUGAGACGCGAAAGCGUGGGGAGCAAACAGG